GUGUGUUACGCCUACAGGCAGGACAGGAAGAAGCUAGAGUCAAGGUCUGACAAAGGCAUCUUUGUUGGUUAUGACAAGAACAGUCCAGCCUAUAUGGUCUACUACCCUGACAGCAGGAAGGUGAUGAAGCACAGACUGGUGAGGUUCAUGUCCUGUGUUGAGGGACAGCAGACUGAUGACAUGUCCGACAAUGACAGUGGUGUGCAGUCUAGCACAACCAGACCUGACCCUGACAAACCCGAGCAGAAUGACAUCCCAGAGGCUAGGCCAGGUCCAAGCCAGAUAGGCCUACAGACAGGUGAGGUCAAGCCAGAAUCCCAGUCUCCACGGAGAUACCCUGCUAGAGAGAGGAGGAGGCCAGACUUCUAUGGGAUAGAGAGUGAUCAGGCUCAGAUCAACAUUGAUUAUUGCUACAGGAUGGUUUGUAAUGUACCUCAGACGUUCAGAGAUGCUGUGACUUCAUCCAACUCAAGAGAGUGGGUAGAUGCAAUGGAUGAGGAGAUGAAGGCACUGAGGGAUAACACAUUUACUCUGACCACCUUACCUGAGGGCAAGAAAGCAGUGGGGGGUAGAUGGGUGUAUACUCUCAAAACCAAUGUUGAUGGAUCUGACAAGUACAAGGCCCGCUAUGUAACCAAGAAGCAGCCAACUGUAGCACUGUCAACUUGUAAGGCAGAGUAUAUGGCGUUGGCCACCACCACACAAGAGUGUCUUUAUUUAUCUCAACUGCUUGAACAUCUUGAUGACUGUCUGUAUGAUGUACCUAAGAUUUUUGAAGAUGACCAAGGUACAAUUGCAUUAGCCAAGAAUCCAGUCAGCACACAGUGAUGUAAGCACAUUGAUAUAAAAUACCAUUUUGUGAGAUCAACUGUUAAUGAGUGUAAAGUAUUGGAGUAUAGCCAGUUAAGUGCAGUUGGUUUCCAUGUUUGUUUUUUGUUGUUGUAUGAUUUAUGGUUGUCAAUAAUGUGUGAUCAAGUGGGGGUGUUAAUUGUAUAAUUGUGAUUGUGCUCCCAAUUAUUGCUGAUGCAUUUCAGGUGUGUGUGUCAUGUGACUGUCUAUAUAAGCUGAUGCACC
rnacentral:lncRNA from 1 species